UACGUAGGGGGCUAGCGUUGUCCGGAAUCAUUGGGCGUAAAGCGCGUGUAGGCGGUCCGGUAAGUCCGCUGUGAAAGUCGGGGGCUCAACCCUCGGAUGCCGGUGGAUACUGUCGGGCUUGAGUACGGAAGAGGCGAGUGGAAUUCCUGGUGUAGCGGUGAAAUGCGCAGAUAUCAGGAGGAACACCGGUGGCGAAAGCGGCGUGCUGGACCUUUACUGACGCUGAUGCGCGAAAGCCAGGGGAGCGAACGGG
rnacentral:rRNA from 1 species